rnacentral:rRNA from 1 species
UACGUAGGUGGCAAGCGUUAUCCGGAAUUAUUGGGCGUAAAGAGCGCGCAGGUGGUUAAUUAAGUCUGAUGUGAAAGCCCACGGCUUAACCGUGGAGGGUCAUUGGAAACUGGUUGACUUGAGUGCAGAAGAGGGAAGUGGAAUUCCAUGUGUAGCGGUGAAAUGCGUAGAGAUAUGGAGGAACACCAGUGGCGAAGGAGGCUUCCUGGUCUGUAACUGACACUGAGGCGCGAAAGCGUGGGGAGCAAACAGG